ACGACACGAUCCGGUCGGUAGGGCUGCUCCCGGCUCCAGAGGAGGCGAUAGAGAAGGAAAAGCCGACGAGAGAGGGGCGAGAGAGAGAGAGAGAGAGAGAGAAUUGACGGGAAGGGAAGGAAGGCGACCACGCUUCCUUUUCCGAUUUCUUUCUUCUCUGUUUUUGAUCUAAUCUUAGGAAGAAGAAGCAUCGUUGACGCUUUUGAUCCAUCGUUCGCUCCCUCCCUCCGUUUGUUGAUCCUAGAGUCAGAACUAGAGGAGUGCUUUCGAUGGCGCCGGGGCAGGGAACGCAGCAGCAGUUCCGGUAUACGCAGACGCCAUCGAAGGUGCUGCACGUCCGGAACCUGCCGUGGGACAGCGCCGAGGAGGAGCUCGUCGCCCUGUGCAGGCCAUUCGGCAAGAUCGUCAACACCAUGUGCAACGUCGGCGCCAACAAGAACCAGGCCUUUGUAGAAUUCGCUGAUCUUAACCAAGCAAUUUCAAUGGUGUCAUACUAUGCUUCUUCAUCUGAGCCUGCCCAAGUUCGUGGAAAAACUGUCUAUAUCCAGUAUUCUAAUAGGCAAGAAAUUACGAAUAACAAGAGUACUGGAGAUGUUCCUGGGAAUGUCUUGCUGGUCACUAUUGAAGGUGUUGAAUCUGGGGAUGUCAGCAUUGAUGUGAUUCAUUUGGUGUUCUCUGCUUUUGGGUUUGUGCAUAAAAUUGCAACAUUUGAAAAAGCUGCUGGCUUUCAGGCACUAAUCCAGUACACAGAUGCGGAGACUGCUGCAAGUGCAAGAAAUGCAUUGGACGGAAGAAGCAUUCCUAGGUACUUACUACUUGAACACAUUACAACUUGCCAUUUGCGGAUCACAUAUUCGGCCCAUACAGAUUUAAGUAUAAAGUUCCAGUCACAUCGUAGCAGGGACUACACAAAUCCCUUUCUUCCUGUGAACCCUUCAGCAAUUGAGGGUUCUGUACAGCCACUGCUUGGUCCUGAUGGAGUGAAAAAGGAGACUGAAAGUAAUGUCCUUUUGGCUUCCAUAGAGAAUAUGCAAUAUGCUGUGACAGUUGAUGUUCUACAUACAGUCUUCUCCACCUUUGGAACUGUGCAGAAGAUUGCAAUUUUUGAGAAAAAUGGUGGCAUGCAGGCAUUGAUACAAUAUCCUGAUGUGACAACUGCUUCAAUUGCCAAGGAAGCUUUGGAGGGACACUGCAUUUAUGAUGGUGGUUAUUGUAAGCUUCAUUUGACAUAUUCUCGUCAUACUGAUCUCAGUGUUAAGGUGCAUAAUGAUAGAGGCAGAGACUACACUGUUCAGGACACUAGUGUACUAAUGACGUCCCAAGCUCCUAGUUUGCCGACCACUACUGGUUGGCAAGUUCAUCCUCAAUCUACAACCACAUAUAUUGGCAAUGAUUUCACAGCUACAGGACAAGUGACAGUUCUGCAUGGCCAAGUGACGACAUGGAAUCCUAGCUUGUCAAGUGGAAGCUUUGCCUCAGCUUCUAACAUGUUCCCCAGUCAGACAUUUGCAACACCUGUUUCCCAUUACCCAGUUUCAACCGUUUCCAGUGCUCCUUCUGGGCUGCUUCAAGCUUCACAGGAGUCAUCUCAAUAUGGUCUUCUGGCAAAUGCACAGCCUGCUGCUGCACCAACCACCCAGCCUCCAUACUACACUACAUAAGCUGCAUCUUCUCAUAUUUUUUUAGGCCUCUGGACUCCACAAGUGAAGCUGCCUUGGACAUUUUCAAUAUUCACUCUACCGUCCUGUGCUCGUUCUCAACUUCACCCUCACCUUUAAAUGGACCUCUAAGAUACAGAACUUUGGAGCUGUAGGAAAAUUUCUUAGUAGGAGCCUUAUUAGCUACUCAAUCGUACAACAAUUUGUUUCUUAGGUUGUUUUGCAGAGAAGGAUCGAAGCUGCACUUGAACCAGAAGCAGUAGCUUUGACAUAUCAUCGAGUCUGGAUUAGAGUCGACAAAAUUGGUGCGGUUUGCUCGUGAUCUCGAAGCCUCGUUCGUUUCUGGCCUUCCAUUGUUGACACUAGAAGAUGAUUGAUACAGCCGAAGUCCGAAGAAUCCAGCGUGUUGCGUUCAGCAGUGGCAAUGAAAUGAAGUAUAAUUUCAUUGAUCACAGGAAUGAAUCCUUUACGCUGACCCCAACCAGUUUACAUUUCCUCCCUCCUGUAUGUUAAACUAAAUGCACCAAGAAGGACACCAACACACCUUGUGAGAGACGUCCUUGUUCGCAUACAUCACCAUUGGUACUUGGCCGCAACGAGGAGGACUUCCUCGUAAUGCUUAGCAGCAUUAUCCCAGCUCAGAUCCUGUGUCAUCCCUCUCGUCCGAAGCCCCUCCCAACUCUUCUUGUGAUUCCAGUAGGUGUUCAAGCAGUUGCCCAGUGCAUGGACCAGCAUCCCCGACUCCGCCCUCUCGAACGUCCACCCGUAGCCCGUCUCCUUGAAGGGGUCAAAGGGGACGACGGUAUCCCGAAGCCCGCCCACGGCGUGCACCACCGGCACCGUCCCGUACUUCAUGGCGUACAGCUGGUUCAGCCCGCACGGCUCGAACCUCGACGGCAUGAGCAGGAUGUCCGCGCCUGCAGUUAUCCUGUGCGCCAUCUUCACCGAGAACCCAACCCAUCCCCUGACCUUGUCAUGGUUCUCUCUCUCGAACUUCCUCAGCAUCUCCUCCAGGUCCGGCCUUCCGGUGCCCAACAUGACCAGCUGCACGUCCUGGGCAACCAUCCACGGCAUGGCCUCCGCGAUGAGGUCCACGCCCUUCUGGUGAUCCAGCCUCCCGAUGAAGCCGAUCACGGGGACAUUUCGUCGAACAGGUAGGCCGAGCUGCUUCUGCAGUGCCGCCUUGCAAUGGAGUUUCCCAGUUUUGACUGUUUCCGAGGAGUAGUUGGUGUAGCCGUCGGAGCUCAAGUGGACGUCCAGUUCGGGGUUCCAGUCCUUUGUGUCGAUGCCAUUAACGAUGCCUCGGAACUUCCAGUCGCUGUCGUUUAUGAUCCCGUGAAGUCCCCAGCCACCUUGGGAAGUUUUGAGCUCCCAUGCGUAGCCAUGGCUGACGGUCACGACGCGGUCGGCGGUCUUCAGCCCAGCGGCGAAGAUGUUGAAGUGGUCACCUCCAAUCGGAUCAUACAAUGUGAAGAGGUCGAUGUACUUCUCCGGCAAGUCCAAAUGGAAGAAAUCCUCUACAGGACCGCGGCCCUGCAUGAGAUAUCAGAAUAAGAAGGUGGACAAGAAGAACUAUGCUACGGACUGAGGCCAUAUCUUGCUCAUGUUCAAUUCUUCUCUCUCUUCCUUGUUCACUUUCCUGCUUUCAGAAUUUGUUCUUCUUGCUAUUUUUUUUGUUUGGCAGAUGAUCUAAAGAAAUAUAAAGGAAUGACAUCAUCUUUAUGUUGA